rnacentral:rRNA from 1 species
UACAGAGGUCUCAAGCGUUGUUCGGAUUCAUUGGGCGUAAAGGGUGUGUGAGGUGGCGCGCUAAGUCGGGUGGUGAAAUUUCGGAGCUUAACUCCGAAACUGCAUCCGAGACUGGCGUGCGUUGAGGACUGGAGAGGAGACUGGAAAUUCAUGGUGUAGCAGUGAAAUGGCGUAGAGAUCAUGAGGAAGACCAGUGGCGAAGGCGGGUCUCGUGGGCCACUACUGACGCUGGAGAAGCGAAAGCAUGGGGGAGCGAACAGGG